GAUGAACGCUGGCGGCGUGCCUAAUACAUGCAAGUCGAGCGAACAGACGAGGAGCUUGCUCCUCUGACGUUAGCGGCGGACGGGUGAGUAACACGUGGAUAACCUACCUAUAAGACUGGGAUAACUUCGGGAAACCGGAGCUAAUACCGGAUAAUAUAUUGAACCGCAUGGUGCAAUAGUGAAAGACGGUUUUGCUGUCACUUAUAGAUGGAUCUGCGCCGCAUUAGCUAGUUGGUAAGGUAACGGCUUACCAAGGGAACGAUGCGUAGCCGACCUGAGGGGGUGAUCGGCCACACUGGAACUGAGACACGGUCCAGACUCCUACGGGAGGCAGCAGUAGGGAAUCUUCCGCAAUGGGCGAAAGCUUGACGGAGCAGCGCCGCGUGAGUGAUGAAGGUCUUCGGAUCGUAAAACUCUGUUAUUAGGGAAGAACAAAUGUGUAAGUAACUAUGCACGGCUUGACGGUACCUAAUCAGAAAGCCACGGCUAACUACGUG
rnacentral:rRNA from 1 species